rnacentral:rRNA from 1 species
CAAACAGGAUUAGAUACCCUGGUAGUCCACGCCGUAAACGAUGUCGACUUGGAGGUUGUUCCCUUGAGGAGUGGCUUCCGGAGCUAACGCGUUAAGUCGACCGCCUGGGGAGUACGGCCGCAAGGUUAAAACUCAAAUGAAUUGACGGGGGCCCGCACAAGCGGUGGAGCAUGUGGUUUAAUUCGAUGCAACGCGAAGAACCUUACCUACUCUUGACAUCCAGAGAACUUAGCAGAGAUGCUUUGGUGCCUUCGGGAACUCUGAGACAGGUGCUGCAUGGCUGUCGUCAGCUCGUGUUGUGAAAUGUUGGGUUAAGUCCCGCAACGAGCGCAACCCUUAUCCUUUGUUGCCAGCGAUUCGGUCGGGAACUCAAAGGAGACUGCCGGUGAUAAACCGGAGGAAGGUGGGGAUGACGUCAAGUCAUCAUGGCCCUUACGAGUAGGGCUACACACGUGCUACAAUGGCGCAUACAAAGAGAAGCGACCUCGCGAGAGCAAGCGGACCUCACAAAGUGCGUCGUAGUCCGGAUCGGAGUCUGCAACUCGACUCCGUGAAGUCGGAAUCGCUAGUAAUCGUGGAUCAGAAUGCCACGGUGAAUACGUUCCCGGGCCUUGUACACACCGCCCGUCACACCAUGGGAGUGGGUUGCAAAAGAAGUAGGU